UUGUAUUAUUGACAAAGAAUUGUAGACAAAUGUUAUUUUAUAUUUUUUAAGAGUAAAACACAUGUACACUAAUAUUGCCUUGUUACUAAUUAUGAGAUUUUCAGGCUUGUGGAGAACAGCUUUUUUUAUCUACUCUUUGGCUGGCCAAUGUAAAUAAGCAAUUAUUUCAUGAAUGCAGCGAGAGAGUUUAUUUGAUGUAUUUUAAAAUCACUGAUAAUAUUUAUUGGUGUAUUUUAAAAUCACUGAUAAUAUUUAUUGGUGUAUUUUAAAAUCGCUGAUAAUAUUUGUUUUGUGGUUGAAAGAUGGUAACCAUGGUGACUUGUGAAUUUUUAUGAAGGAUUAAUAAAAAGCAGUAAAAAUUAUUAAUGGUUGUCACAAGGAAUUUUUUUUUCAAUAAUCAAUCAAUCAUCUACACUCUACAGUAACAAUUUUCCUUAACUCAAAUAAUAUUUCAAUACAUAUCUUAUAAAGUAUUCAUAUAUGUACAAUAUAGACCAAUUUUGAGCUAUUCUGAUAUCAGUAUAUUAGUUAUUAUGAACAUAUACUAUCAGAACUACCAUUUGCAUAUAGUGCAUAUACAUAACACUAGCCAACAACCAUUAAAAAAACACUACUAUAUACACUUACAUUAAAAAAAACAAAUCAUAGACAAGUACAGAUUAUUCACUAUUAUAUUCUAGAGCCAAUUCCAAUAAGUGUGAGGGCGUACCGGUGUUACGAUUUGAAUUAUUGGUGGAAAUAGUGGGCGCCACCACGUGAGUGGGCACGUGGACCCGGCUUGAUACUCUUGCUCAGGGCGUUACGUGGCCCGUGUGCGGCGAGAUAUUAGCCCUCCUGAUACCUAAUUCAGCACCUGUCCCUACCCGAGCCCGCUUAUACUUAACCGCAGUGGGCUCUUAGGGCGUCCCACACGCCGCUGACUGGUUAAGGACCCACGUGGCCCCCUCCGAACACAAAGACACGUGAUUCAAUUAAGUUGGUUUUAUUUACUUACACGUUACACGCCCUCAUACAAUCCUUCCGUGAUACUGUUAAAAAAACGCCCGAGGCACGAAUCGGUUUAGUUGAGGAGGCGGACCACACACGUGGUUGCCUCAAGCCUUUACUUAGAACACAGGUGGUUAAAAACUCCGGAGAGUAUAUAAAUCACUAAUUAAACAGCCCCACCGACCGAGAGAGACCCUGAGGGUGAAGAGAAAACGAUUUGAAUUAAUCAACUGAACAGAACUACUUAUCGGUGAGACAACGGUGAUAUCCUCGGGGUGUCUGCAGAGACGUCCGCUCUCGGCCGGCUGUAGAAGGAGACGGGUGAGACAAGGGCUUGCGGCAGGAAACAUGGCGCUCUUUAUAAAAUUACCAGAUACACAUCCAUGACCAGACCGUCUGUAAUAAUUACUUAUGUGAUAAAAUAUAGUUUGAAUAAAGUUAUGUGUUGGUUCCGUCGUCACCCGCUAGGGAGCGUUCGUGGCCGUGCUUGCACAUACUUUAUUACAAAAUAUAACAUAUUAAUAAAACAAAAGGCACUUACUUACUGAAUCGUCAUGACACUAUUUUAGGGGCGAAAAGAAAAGAUUACAAUAAUAUUAAUUAUAAAUAGGUGUGCGGCGCACUGCAGCUAAGCGCCCUCUUGCCGGGCUACCAACACACGCACGCACUCGCUAGCGGGAGGUUUGAAUAUGAACAGAGGAUGGAGGUGUUUGGGCGGUGGCAUAUCGGAUUCGAAAGGGGGCCGCAGGCCCGGACGACGUCAAGUGUAUUAUCAACAAAAGAAAAUAAUUUUUUU